rnacentral:tRNA from 1 species
CCGACCUUAGCUCAGUUGGUAGAGCGGAGGACUGUAGUUGGUUUAAAAGCCGUCAGGUAAUCCUUAGGUCGCUGGUUCGAAUCCGGCAGGUCGGA